rnacentral:tRNA from 3 species
GGAGAGGUGCUCGAGUGGCUGAAGAGGCACGCCUGGAAAGCGUGUAUACGCAAAACGUAUCAAGGGUUCGAAUCCCUUUCUCUCCGCAA